rnacentral:rRNA from 1 species
CCGUAACUAUAACGGUCCUAAGGUAGCGAAAUUCCUUGUCGGGUAAGUUCCGACCCGCACGAAAGGCGUAAUGAUUUGAGCGCUGUCUCGACAAUGCAUCCGGUGAAAUUGAAGUACCAGUGAAGAUGCUGGUUACCUGCGCCAGGACGGAAAGACCCCAUGGAGCUUUACUCCAGCUUGAUACUGGGAUUCGGUACUGCAUGUACAGGAUAGGUGGGAGACUGAGAAACUUGGACGCCAGUCUGAGAUGAGUCGCUGUUGGGAUACCACCCCUGCGGUAUUGGAUUUCUAACCUGCAGCCGUGAACCGGCUGGGGGACAAUGUCAGGCGGGGAGUUUGACUGGGGCGGUCGCCUCCGAAAGGGUAUCGGAGGCGCUCAAAGGUUCCCUCAGAAUGGUUGGAAACCAUUCGAAGAGUGCAAAGGCAGAAGGGAGCUUGACUGCGACACCGACGGGUGGAGCAGGUACGAAAGUAGGACUUAGUGAUCCGGUGGUAUAAAGUGGGAUUGCCAUCGCUCAACGGAUAAAAGCUACCCUGGGGAUAACAGGCUUAUCACUCCCAAGAGUUCACAUCGACGGAGUGGUUUGGCACCUCGAUGUCGGCUCAUCGCAUCCUGGGGCUGUAGUAGGUCCCAAGGGUUGGGCUGUUCGCCCAUUAAAGCGGUACGCGAGCUGGGUUCAGAACGUCGUGAGACAGUUCGGUCCCUAUCCGGCGUGGGCGUAGGAUAUUUGAGAGGAGCUGUCCUUAGUACGAGAGGACCGGGAUGGACGGACCACUGGUGUAUCUGUUGUCGACCAACGGCAUGGCAGAGUAGCCAAGUCCGGAAGGGAUAAACGCUGAAGGCAUCUAAGCGUGAAGCCCCCCUCAAGAUGAGAUAUCCCAUCCGAAAGGAGUAAACCCCCUUGAAGACGACGAGGUAGAUAGGGCAGAGGUGGAAGUGCGGUAACGCAUGGAGCUGACUGUUACUAAUAGGUCGAGGGCAUAACCAA